GGCUGUAGCUUAUAGGAUUAGAGCACGUGGCUACAAAUCACGGUGUCGGGGGUUGGAAUCCCUCCUUGCCC
rnacentral:tRNA from 1 species